rnacentral:rRNA from 1 species
AAUGCGCGUCAGAAUGUGAACUGCAGGACACAUGAACACCGACACGUUGAACGCACAUGGCGCGUCGGCUCGCCUCAAAACGACCGAUGCACACAUCCUUGAGUGUCUACUUGCGUUAUUUUACUUUGUGGAUCAUUUAACUACAACAUGCCACGCGGGCCUCCGGGCCGAGGUGGACGUUGUGCAUAACAGCGUGCUGGGCGUGGCUUCGCGCCGCCCCAGGGCGUUGGUCCAGGUUGUGAAUGGAUAUAGAGCGGGUGGCCGUCGCUGGCCUGCACGCGCACUUACGCGCUGGUCCCCGAUCGUUAGAUGUUGCGCCCGUAGCCUUCCGAGGUCUACAAGCGCCAGAUGCUUCCGAUCGCCACAUGGGGACCGCCGUUCGUGCGGUCGGUGCCUACAAGGUUACUUACAGCGAAUGUGCCGGACCGACACCAAAGCCUUCAAUUCAACCAACGGGCACACGCAGGGUGCGUUCCUCGGGACCACCAAGGUAGACCUCAGGUGAUGUGCGGUAACCCCCGGAAUUUAAGCAUAUUAAUAAGGGGAGGAAGAGAAACCAACCGGGAUUC